rnacentral:rRNA from 1 species
UAGGAAUCUGCCUAGUAGUGGGGGAUAACGUUCGGAAACGGACGCUAAUACCGCAUACGUCCUACGGGAGGGAGUGGGGGAUCUUCGGACCUCACGCUAUUAGAUGAGCCUAGGUCGGAUUAGCUAGUUGGUGAGGUAAUGGCUCACCAAGGCGACGAUCCGUAACUGGUCUGAGAGGAUGAUCAGUCACACUGGAACUGAGACACGGUCCAGACUCCUACGGGAGGCAGCAGUGGGGAAUAUUGGACAAUGGGCGAAAGCCUGAUCCAGCCAUGCCGCGUGUGUGAAGAAGGUCUUCGGAUUGUAAAGCACUUUAAGUUGGGAGGAAGGGCAGUAAGUUAAUACCUUGCUGUUUUGACGUUACCGACAGAAUAAGCACCGGCUAACUCUGUGCCAGCAGCCGCGGUAAUACAGAGGGUGCAAGCGUUAAUCGGAAUUACUGGGCGUAAAGCGCGCGUAGGCGGUUUGUUAAGUUGGAUGUGAAAGCCCCGGGGCUCAACCUGGGAACUGCAUCCAAAACUGGGAAGCUAGAGUACAGUAGAGGGGUGGUGGAAAUUUCCUGUGUACCGGUGAAAUGCGUAUAUAUAGGAAGGGAACACCAGUGGGCGAAGGCGGACCACCUGGGACUGAAUACCUGACUCUGAGGAUGCGAAAGCGUGGGGAAGCA